UGGCCACAAGUAUAACAAG
rnacentral:misc_RNA from 1 species